rnacentral:hammerhead_ribozyme from 1 species
AUCCAGUUGGUGAAUCCCAAAUAGGACGAAAUGCGCAUCCUGGAU